rnacentral:tRNA from 1 species
GAGGGUAUAGCUCAGUGGUAGAGCACAUGCCUAGCAUGCAUGAGGUCCUGGGUCCUGGGUCCUGGGUCCCAUCCCCAGUAUCUCCA